GCCAGCAUAGCUCAGUUGGUAGAGCAACGGUUUUGUAAACCGUUUGUCCGGGGUUCGAUCCCUCGUGCUGGCUCAA
rnacentral:tRNA from 1 species